UUAGUUGAAGCCAAACUAGAGGCAUUUUAUUGUUAAUAAAAAAAUUGAAUUAAUUUCCAAUUAAA
rnacentral:tRNA from 1 species